rnacentral:rRNA from 1 species
UGGGGAAUAUUGCACAAUGGGCGCAAGCCUGAUGCAGCCAUGCCGCGUGUGUCAAGAAGGCCUUCGGGUUGUAAAGCACUUUCAGCGGGGAGGAAGGCGAUAAGGUUAAUAACCUUGUCGAUUGACGUUACCCGCAGAAGAAGCACCGGCUAACUCCGUGCCAGCAGCCGCGGUAAUACGGAGGGUGCAAGCGUUAAUCGGAAUUACUGGGCGUAAAGCGCACGCAGGCGGUCUGUCAAGUCGGAUGUGAAAUCCCCGGGCUCAACCUGGGAACUGCAUUCGAAACUGGCAGGCUAGAGUCUUGUAGAGGGGGGUAGAAUUCCAGGUGUAGCGGUGAAAUGCGUAGAGAUCUGGAGGAAUACCGGUGGCGAAGGCGGCCCCCUGGACAAAGACUGACGCUCAGGUGCGAAAGCGUGGGGAGCAAACAGG